GAGAUGAGUACUUAUAUGGUGGAGGUGGAGGAGAUGGGUACUUGUAGGGAGGAGGAGGAGACUUGUACUUGUAAACUGGUGGAGGAGGAGACUUGUACUUGUAGACUGGUGGUGGUGGAGAUGAGUACUUAUAUGGUGGAGGUGGAGGAGAUGGGUACUUGUAGGGAGGAGGAGGAGACUUGUACUUGUAAACUGGAGGUGGAGGAGAUGAGUACUUGUAUGGGUUCUUUGGUGGUGGUGGAGAGUGAUAGUAGUAGGGAGGAGGAGGUGAGUGCUUUGGUGGUGGAGGAGAGUGGUAAUAGUAGGGAGGAGGAGGUGAGUGUUUUGGUGGAGGUGGAGAGUGGUAGUAAUAAGGAGGAGGAGGUGAAUGCUUUGGUGGGGGAGGAGAGUGGUAGUAAUAAGGAGGAGGAGGUGAGUGCUUUGGUGGAGGUGGAGAGUGGUAGUAAUAGGGUGGAGGAGGUGAAUGCUUAGGUGGUGGGGGAGAGUGGUAGUAAUAAGGAGGAGGAGGUGAAUGCUUUGGUGGGGGUGGAGAGUGGUAGUAAUAUGGGGGAGGAGGUGAAUGCUUUGGUGGUGGUGGAGAGUGGUAGUAAUAGGGUGGAGGAGGUGAGUGUUUAGGUGGAGGUGGAGAGUGGUAGUAAUAGGGUGGAGGAGGUGAAUGCUUAGGUGGUGGGGGAGAGUGGUAGUAAUAAGGAGGAGGAGGUGAAUGCUUUGGUGGGGGUGGAGAGUGGUAGUAAUAGGGUGGAGGAGGUGAAUGCUUUGGUGGUGGUGGAGAGUGGUAGUAAUAAGGAGGAGGAGGUGAGUGCUUAGGUGGAGGUGGAGAGUGGUAGUAAUAAGGAGGAGGAGGUGAAUGCUUUGGUGGUGGGGGAGAGUGGUAGUAAUAAGGAGGAGGCGGUGAGUGUUUUGGUGGAGGUGGAGAGUGGUAAUAGUAUGGAGGAGGUGGUGAGUGUUUUGGUGGUGGAG
rnacentral:lncRNA from 1 species